GUCUAUGGCCAUUCUACCCUGAAUGGAACCUGAUCUUGGAAUCUAAGUAGGACCAGGCCUGGUUAGUACGUGGAUAGGAGACCUCUUCUUCUUCUUGUUGCCCAGGUCU
rnacentral:rRNA from 1 species